GUGGCUGUGGCAUCGUACCCUCCCUCCCCCUCGUCGACCCCCCAACAUGUGCUGCCCAGUUCGCAACACCUGUCGCAUCAGGUGUUGAAGGAAAUUCCUGUGCUAGAACCUCUUGAUGAUUCAGCUAUUAAAUACGAAUCGUCGAGUUAGGGAAAAUAAAGAAAUAAAGGAGAAAAUAGGAGGGGAAGAAGAAAGAGAAAAAAAAAGAAGAA